UGGGGAAUAGUGUAAUGGUAGCACCACAGAUUCUGAAUCUGUUAGUCUAGGUUCAAAUCCUAGUUCCUCAGC
rnacentral:tRNA from 1 species